rnacentral:rRNA from 1 species
UACGUAGGGGGCAAGCGUUGUCCGGAAUCAUUGGGCGUAAAGCGCGCGUAGGCGGCCCGGUAAGUCCGCUCUGAAAGUCGAGGGCUCAACCCUGGAAAGCGGGUGGAUACUGCCGGGCUAGAAUCCGGAAGAGGCGAGUGGAAUUCCUGGUGUAGCGGUGGAAUGCGCAGAUAUCAGGAGGAACACCAAUAGCGAAGGCAGCUCGCUGGGACGGUAUUGACGCUAAGGCGCGAAAGCGUGGGGAGCAAACAGG